AUCCAGACUCCUACGGGAGGCAGCAGUGGGGAAUAUUGCACAAUGGGGGAAACCCUGAUGCAGCGACGCCGCGUGAGCGAUGAAGUAUUUCGGUAUGUAAAGCUCUAUCAGCAGGGAAGAAGAUGACGGUACCUGACUAAGAAGCCCCGGCUAACUACGUGCCAGCAGCCGCGGUAAUACGUAGGGGGCAAGCGUUAUCCGGAUUUACUGGGUGUAAAGGGAGCGUAGACGGCGAUGCAAGCCAGGUGUGAAAGCCCGGGGCUCAACCCCGGGACUGCAUUUGGAACUGUGUGGCUGGAGUGUCGGAGAGGUAGGCGGAAUUCCUGGUGUAGCGGUGAAAUGCGUAGAUAUUAGGAGGAACCCCAGUGGCGAAGGCGGCCUGCUGGACGAUGACUGACGUUGAGGCUCGAAAGCGUGGGGAGCAAACAGGAUUAGAUACCCUAGUACAA
rnacentral:rRNA from 1 species